rnacentral:tRNA from 1 species
GGAGAGAUGGCUGAGUGGUUGAAAGCAACGGUCUUGAAAACCGUCAUACCGGGAAACCGGUAUCGGGAGUUCGAAUCUCCCUCUCUCCGCCA